UACGUAGGGUGCGAGCGUUAAUCGGAAUUACUGGGCGUAAAGAGCGCGCAGGCGGUCGUGCAAGUCGCGUGUGAAAGCCCCCGGCUCAACUGGGGAGGGUCACGCGAUACUGUUCGACUCGAAGGCAGGAGAGGGAAGUGGAAUUCCCGGUGUAGUGGUGAAAUGCGUAGAUAUCGGGAGGAACACCAGUGGCGAAGGCGACUUCCUGGCCUGUUCUUGACGCUGAGGCGCGAAAGCUAGGGUAGCAAACGGG
rnacentral:rRNA from 1 species